AAGACUAUACUUUCAGGGAUCAUUUCUAUAGUUUGUUACUAGAGAAGUUCUCUGAACGUGUAGGGUACCAAAAAAAAAAAAAAAAAAAAUUUCCUGA
rnacentral:snoRNA from 1 species